UUCUGGUUGAUCCUGCCGGACCUGGCUGCUAUCGGAUUGAUACUAAGCCAUGCGAGUCUUUGUAGUAAUACAAGGCAUACGGCUCAGUAACGCGUAGUCAACCUACCCUAUGGACAAGAAUAAUCUCGGGAAACUGAGCAUAAUUCUUGAUAGAUCAUAAUGCCUGGAAUGGUUUAUGGUUAAAAUGAUUCGUCGCCAUAGGAUGGGACUGCGGCCUAUCAGCUUGUUGGUGAGGUAAUGGCCCACCAAGGCGAUUACAGGUACGGGCUCUGAGAGGAGAAGCCCGGAGAUGGGUACUGAGACAAGGACCCAGGCCCUAUGGGGCGCAGCAGGCGAGAAAACUUUGCAAUGUGCGAAAGCACGACAAGGUUAGUCCGAGUGAUUUCUGCUAAAGAGAUCUUUUGCUAGUUAUAAAACCACUAGUGAAUAAGGGGUGGGCAAGUUCUGGUGUCAGCCGCCGCGGUAAAACCAGCACCUCAAGUGGUCAGGAUGAUUAUUGGGCCUAAGGCAUCCGUAGCCGGCUCUGUAAGUUUUCGGUUAAAUCUAUGCGCUCAACGUAUGGGCUGCCGAAAAUACUGUAGAGAUAGGGAGUGGGAGAGGUAGACGGUACUCGGUAGGAAGGGGUAAAAUCCUUUGAUCUAUCGAUGACCACCUGUGGCGAAG
rnacentral:rRNA from 1 species